UACGUAGGGAGCAAGCGUUGUCCGGAAUCAUUGGGCGUAAAGCGCGCGUAGGCGGCCCGAUAAGUCCGCUGUAAAAGUCAACGGCUCAACUGUUGAAAGCCGGUGGAUACUGUCGGGCUAGAGUACGGAAGAGGCAAGUGGAAUUCCUGGUGUAGCGGUGGAAUGCGCAGAUAUCAGGAGGAACACCUGUAGCGAAGGCAGCUUGCUGGGACGUUACUGACGCUAAGGCGCGAAAGCGUGGGGAGCGAACAGG
rnacentral:rRNA from 1 species